UGGGGAAUAUUGGGCAAUGGGGGCAACCCUGACCCAGCAACGCCGCGUGAGGGAAGAAGGUUUUCGGAUUGUAAACCUCUGUCCUCAGGGACGAAGAAGUGACGGUACCUGAGGAGGAAGCUCCGGCUAACUACGUGCCAGCAGCCGCGGUAAUACGUAGGGAGCGAGCGUUGUCCGGAAUUACUGGGCGUAAAGGGUGCGUAGGCGGUUUGGUAAGUCAGAUGUGAAAUACCCGGGCUUAACCCGGGGGCUGCAUCUGAUACUGUCAGACUUGAGUGCAGGAGAGGAAAGCGGAAUUCCUAGUGUAGCGGUGAAAUGCGUAGAUAUUAGGAGGAACACCAGUGGCGAAGGCGGCUUUCUGGACUGUAACUGACGCUGAGGCACGAAAGCGUGGGGAGCAAACAGG
rnacentral:rRNA from 1 species